GGAGCUGUAGCUCAGUGGUAGAAUACUUGCCUAGUAUGCAUGGGACCCUGGGUUCGAACCUCAGCACAGCCC
rnacentral:tRNA from 1 species